AAGUUUUGGGGACUUAUCUUCCUGGCCCUGGAACUCUGGUCUGGGAAUGCUGGUGUGGGGCUGGUAUUCCUUGCUUCCAAGAUACCCCUUCCAAACUAUUAUCCACCACAUGUGUGUCUGGGACCAGCCUGUUCCACAUCAAGUGCCCCUUCUACUGGAU